rnacentral:rRNA from 1 species
GAUGAACGCUAGCGGGAGGCUUAACACAUGCAAGUCGAGGGGCAUCACGGGGUAGCAAUACUCUGGUGGCGACCGGCGCACGGGUGAGUAACACGUAUGCAACCUACCUCGUACAGGGGGAUAACCCGGAGAAAUUCGGACUAAUAUCCCAUAAUGAUAUUGAAAGGCAUCUUUUAAUAUUUAAAGCUCAGGCGGUACGGGAUGGGCAUGCGGAACAUUAGCUAGUUGGUAGGGUAACGGCCUACCAAGGCUGCGAUGUUUAGGGGACCUGAGAGGGUUAUCCCCCACACUGGUACUGAGACACGGACCAGACUCCUACGGGAGGCUG